rnacentral:rRNA from 1 species
AUUGAACGCUGGCGGCAGGCUUAACACAUGCAAGUCGAGCGGGGUGAUGGUGCUUGCACUAUCACUUAGCGGCGGACGGGUGAGUAAUGCUUAGGAAUCUGCCUAUUAGUGGGGGACAACAUCUCGAAAGGGAUGCUAAUACCGCAUACGUCCUACGGGAGAAAGCAGGGGAUCUCUUGUGACCUUGCGCUAAUAGAUGAGCCUAAGUCGGAUUAGCUAGUUGGUGGGGUAAAGGCCUACCAAGGCGACGAUCUGUAGCGGGUCUGAGAGGAUGAUCCGCCUCACUGGGACUGAGACACGGCCCGGACUCCUACGGGAGGCAGCAGUGGGGAAUAUUGGACAAUGGGGGGAACCCUGAUCCAGCCAUGCCGCGUGUGUGAAGAAGGCCUUAUGGUUGUAAAGCACUUUAAGCGAGGAGGAGGCUCUUUUGGUUAAUACCCAAGAUGAGUGGACGUUACUCGCAGAAUAAGCACCGGCUAACUCUGUGCCAGCCGCCGCAGUAA